CCUACGGGUGGCAGCAGUGAGGAAUAUUGGUCAAUGGCCGGAAGGCUGAACCAGCCAAGCCGCGUGAGGGAGGAAGGCGCAGAGCGUCGCAGACCUCUUUUGCCGGGGGACAAAAGGCCGGACUCGUCCGGUCCUGAGGGUACCCGGAGAAAAAGCAUCGGCUACCUCCGGGCCAGCUCCCGCGGUAAUCAGGGGGAUGCGACCGUUAUCCGGAUUCAUUUGGCUUAAAGGGUGCGCAGGCGGGCCUUUAAGCCGGCGGUGAAAUCGCGGGGCUAAACCCCGCCGCGCCGUCGAAACUGGGGGCCUUGAGUGCGGCGGAGGCAUGCGGAAUGCGCGGUGUAGCGGUGAAAUGCAUAGAUAUCGCGCAGAACCCCGAUUGCGAAGGCAGCGUGCCGUACCGCCACUGACGCUGAGGCACGAAAGCGCGGGGAUCGAACAGGAUUAGAUACCCCUGUAGUC
rnacentral:rRNA from 1 species